rnacentral:rRNA from 1 species
AUGAACGCUGGCGGCGUGCCUAAUACAUGCAAGUAGAACGCUGAAGGAGGAGCUUGCUCUUCUGGAUGAGUUGCGAACGGGUGAGUAACGCGUAGGUAACCUGCCUGGUAGCGGGGGAUAACUAUUGGAAACGAUAGCUAAUACCGCAUGACAACAGUUAUUGCAUGAUAACUGUUUAAAAGGGGCAACUGCUCCACUACCAGAUGGACCUGCGUUGUAUUAGCUAGUUGGUGAGGUAACGGCUCACCAAGGCGACGAUACAUAGCCGACCUGAGAGGGUGAUCGGCCACACUGGGACUGAGACACGGCCCAGACUCCUACGGGAGGCAGCAGUAGGGAAUCUUCGGCAAUGGACGGAAGUCUGACCGAGCAACGCCGCGUGAGUGAAGAAGGGUUUCGGAUCGUAAAGCUCUGUUGUAAGAGAAGAACGAGUGUGAGAGUGGAAAGUUCACACUGUGACGGUAGCUUACCAGAAAGGGACGGCUAACUACGUG